rnacentral:rRNA from 1 species
GAUCCUGGCUCAGGAUGAACGCUGGCGGCAGGCCUAACACAUGCAAGUCGAGCGGAUGAAAGGGGCUUGCUCCUGGAUUCAGCGGCGGACGGGUGAGUAAUACGCAGGAAUCUACCUAGUAGUGGGGGAUAACGUUUCGAAAGGGGCGCUAAUACCGCAUACGUUCUGAGGAAGAAAGCAGGGGAUCGCAAGACCUUGCGCUAUUAGAUGAGCUUGCGUCCGAUUAGCUAGUUGGUGGGGUAAAGGCCUACCAAGGCGACGAUCGGUAACUGGUCUGAGAGGAUGAUCAGUCACACUGGAACUGAGACACGGUCCAGACUCCUACGGGAGGCAGCAGGUGGGGAAUAUUGGACAAUGGGGGCAACCCUGAUCCAGCCAUGCCGCGUGUGUGAAGAAGGCCUUCGGGUUGUAAAGCACUUUAAGCGGGGAGGAAGGCCUGAUGGAUAAUACCCAUUGGGAUUGACGUUACCCGCAGAAUAAGCACCGGCAAACUUCGUG